AGGGAAGGACUGCAUUACAUAAUGCUGCUAGAAAUGAUCAAACUGACGUAGUGCAGAUAUUAAUUGACAAUGGAUGUGACGUCUAUUUGCCGGACACUGAUGGAGAUACUCCGCUACAUAUAGCAGCCAAAAAAAGCUACCCACAGAUAGUCAGAUAUUUGUUGAACAUAGAUUGUGAUCCAAACAUAAUAAAUACUAAGAAUGGAAAGAAUGCAUUACACUAUGCUGCUGACAAUAAUAAAACAGAAGUAUUACAGAUUUUAUUUGAAUUUGGAUGCGAAAAGAAUCU